rnacentral:rRNA from 1 species
AGACCCGAAACCCGGUGAUCUAGCCAUGGGCAGGUUGAAGGUUGGGUAACACUAACUGGAGGACCGAACCGACUAAUGUUGAAAAAUUAGCGGAUGACCUGUGGCUGGGGGUGAAAGGCCAAUCAAACCGGGAGAUAGCUGGUUCUCCCCGAAAGCUAUUUAGGUAGCGCCUCGUGAAUUCAUCUCCGGGGGUAGAGCACUGUUUCGGCUAGGGGGCCAUCCCGGCUUACCAACCCGAUGCAAACUGCGAAUACCGGAGAAUGUUAUCACGGGAGACACACGGCGGGUGCUAACGUCCGUCGUGAAGAGGGAAACAACCCAGACCGCCAGCUAAGGUCCCAAAGUCAUGGUUAAGUGGGAAACGAUGUGGGAAGGCCCAGACAGCCAGGAUGUUGGCUUAGAAGCAGCCAUCAUUUAAAGAAAGCGUAAUAGCUCACUGGUCGAGUCGGCCUGCGCGGAAGAUGUAACGGGGCUAAACCAUGCACCGAAGCUGCGGCAGCGAACGUAUCACCCAAGACAACUUUACGGAGUUGACGAUUGACGGAGCGAAGCGACGUCAAAGCGUUCAUUAAAGUCGAGUUGGCUUAGGGAUACGUUCGUUGGGUAGGGGAGCGUUCUGUAAGCCUGUGAAGGUGUGUCGUGAGGCAUGCUGGAGGUAUCAGAAGUGCGAAUGCUGACAUAAGUAACGAUAAAGCGGGUGAAAAGCCCGCUCGCCGGAAGACCAAGGGUUCCUGUCCAACGUUAAUCGGGGCAGGGUGAGUCGACCCCUAAGGCGAGGCCGAAAGGCGUAGUCGAUGGGAAACGGGUUAAUAUUCCCGUACUUGGUGUUACUGCGAAGGGGGGACGGAGAAGGCUAUGUUGGCCGGGCGACGGUUGUCCCGGUUUAAGCGUGUAGGUGUGUGUUCCAGGUAAAUCCGGUUCACUUUAACACUGAGGCGUGACGACGAGGCACUACGGUGCUGAAGCAACAAAUGCCCUGCUUCCAGGAAAAGCCUCUAAGCAUCAGGUAACACGAAAUCGUACCCCAAACCGACACAGGUGGUCAGGUAGAGAAUACCAAGGCGCUUGAGAGAACUCGGGUGAAGGAACUAGGCAAAAUGGUGCCGUAACUUCGGGAGAAGGCACGCUGACACGUAGGUGAAGUGAUUUACUCAUGGAGCUGAAGUCAGUCGAAGAUACCAGCUGGCUGCAACUGUUUAUUAAAAACACAGCACUGUGCAAACACGAAAGUGGACGUAUACGGUGUGACGCCUGCCCGGUGCCGGAAGGUUAAUUGAUGGGGUCAGCGUAAGCGAAGCUCCUGAUCGAAGCCCCGGUAAACGGCGGCCGUAACUAUAACGGUCCUAAGGUAGCGAAAUUCCUUGUCGGGUAAGUUCCGACCUGCACGAAUGGCGUAAUGAUGGCCAGGCUGUCUCCACCCGAGACUCAGUGAAAUUGAACUCGCUGUGAAGAUGCAGUGUACCCGCGGCAAGACGGAAAGACCCCGUGAACCUUUACUAUAGCUUGACACUGAACAUUGAGCCUUGAUGUGUAGGAUAGGUGGGAGGCUUUGAAGUGUGGACGCCAGUCUGCAUGGAGCCGACCUUGAAAUACCACCCUUUAAUGUUUGAUGUUCUAACGUGGACCCGUAAUCCGGGUUGCGGACAGUGUCUGGUGGGUAGUUUGACUGGGGCGGUCUCCUCCUAAAGAGUAACGGAGGAGCACGAAGGUUGGCUAAUCCUGGUCGGACAUCAGGAGGUUAGUGCAAUGGCAUAAGCCAGCUUGACUGCGAGCGUGACGGCGCGAGCAGGUGCGAAAGCAGGUCAUAGUGAUCCGGUGGUUCUGAAUGGAAGGGCCAUCGCUCAACGGAUAAAAGGUACUCCGGGGAUAACAGGCUGAUACCGCCCAAGAGUUCAUAUCGACGGCGGUGUUUGGCACCUCGAUGUCGGCUCAUCACAUCCUGGGGCUGAAGUAGGUCCCAAGGGUAUGGCUGUUCGCCAUUUAAAGUGGUACGCGAGCUGGGUUUAGAACGUCGUGA